GUGUUGUAUUUUUAAAUAAUAUUUUUAAAAACUGCUAUUUUUGGAAAAUUUUCAUUUUAUAGAUAAAUAGUGUAGAUUUCGGUUUGUGAUUUAGAAAUUAGGAUAACUACACUAUUUGUGGACAAAUGAAUACUCUUUAAGAAUUUUUCAUCAAUAUGUUGUAUUUUUAAAUAAUUUUCUUAAAAACUGAUAUUUUUGGAAAGUUUUCAUUUUUUAGAUAAAUAUUGUAAAUCUGGGUUUGUGAUUUAGAAAUUAGGAUAACUUGACUAUUUGUGGACAGAUGAAUACUUUUUAAGAAUUUUUCAUUAACAUGUUGUAUUUUAAAUAAUUUUCUUAAAAGCUGCUAUUUUUGGAAAGUUUACAUUUUUUUAGAGAAAUAUUGUAGAUUUGAGUUUGUGGUUUAAAAAUUAAGAUAAUAAUAAUAUUUGUGGAUAGUUGAGUAUUCUUUUAGAAAUUUUCAUCAACAAGUUGUAUUUUAAAUAUUUUUUCUUAAAAACUUCUAUUUUUGGAAAGUUUUCGUUUUUUAGAGAAAUAUUGUAUAUUUGGGUUUGUGAUUUAAAAAUUAAAUAGCAAGAAUAUUUGUGGAUAUAUGAGUAUUCUUUUAGGAAUUUUCCUCAAUAAGUUGUAUUUUUAAUAAUUUUUUAUAAACUUUAAAUUAGGAGAACAAGAAUAUUUGUGUAUAGAUGAGUAUUCUUUUAGAAAUUUUCAUCAGUAAGUUGUAUUUUUAAUAAUUUUCUAUAAACUUCAAUUUUUGGAAAGUUUUCAUUUUUUAGAGAAAUAUUGUAGAUUUGGGUUUGUGAUUUAAAAUUUAGGAUAACAAGAAUAUUUGUGGACAGAUGAAUACUCUUUAAGAAUUUUUUAUCAAUAUGUUGUAUUUUUAAAUAAUUUUCUUAAAAACUGCUAUUUUUGGAAAGUUUUCAUUUUAUAGAUAAAUAUUGUAGAUUUGUGUUUG
rnacentral:lncRNA from 1 species